rnacentral:rRNA from 1 species
AAUAUUGCACAAUGGGGGAAACCCUGAUGCAGCCACGCCGCGCGAGUGAAGAAGUAUUUCGGUAUGUAAAGCUCUAUCAGCAGGGAAGAAAAUGACGGUACCUAACGAAGAAGCACCGGCUAACUACGUGCCAGCAGCCGCGGGAAUACGUAGGGGGCAAGCGUUAUCCGGAUUUACUGGGUGUAAAGGGAGCGUAGGUGGUUUGGUAAGUAGGAUGUAAAAGCCCGGGGCUCAACCCCGGGCCUGCAUUUGAAACUAUCAAGCUGGGGUGCAGGGGAGGUAGGUGGAAUUCCUGGUGUAGCGGUGAAAUGCGUAGAUAUUAGGGGGAACACCAGUGGCGAAGGCGGCUUACUGGACUGUAACUGACACUGAGGCUCGAAAGCGUGGGGAGCAAACA